GUACUUUGGUUGUUUUUCUGUUUCUCAUUGUUAUGUACUACUUAAUUUUUUUUACCAGUUGCAUUGGUAAUACAUGGAUUUUGGUUCAUUUUUUUAGGUAUUUGAGGUGAUGAGAAAACAAGAAAAGGCUCGUCUUGCUGAAUUGGCUGCAGAGAAGGCUCAUCAGGAAGCCAUUCAGGCUCAACUUGCUAUCUAGCGUAAACUUGCAGAAGAUCAAAUGAAUUUAGUAGAAAAACAAUCACAAGUUAAAGCCGAAAUGUUAAGAUAUGAAGAUGAAUUAGCUAGGAAAAGAAUGCAGAUCAUGAAGCUCAAAGACAACACAAUGCUGAAUUGGCUAGAAUGCAAGAUGAAUCUUUAAUAAGAAAAGAACAAGCAAGAACAGCAACUGAAGAACAUAUUCAAAAAUUUUAAGGAAUGUUGUAUCAUCACUUAAAACAGAAUUUUCAACAUAAAUGUGGACCCGGUCUUUUUCUUCAGACGGUGGUGACUUGGUUGAUGCUGUUGUCCCUUUUGUGGGAGAAUCCAUUAGUGAUGGCACUUUAGCAACCUUUAUAAAGAAUAUGUUGAAAUUAAAUAGCCAAAUUAUUUCUCUCUUUCUUUUUUAUAAUUAUUUUUUUUGGAAAACUUUUCUUUUGUUGUUCAUAGAACCUGGAGAUCAUGUGGAAGUUGAUUAUAUGAGCCAAUUGACCAAAUCAAAACUGAUAAGGCAGGUGACAAUUGAUGUUGGGAGUCCUGAAGUUGGAGUUAUCAAAGAGUUUGUUGCAAAAAAGGGAGAUACAGUGGAGCCAGGUACAAAGGUUGUAAUGAGUAAGCGUCUGAUGAAGUCGAUAUGACAUAUUUAACGAAACUUCGAUCUGAAUAUAAAGAAGCUUUCCUUGAGAAGCAUGGAGUGAAAUUUGGGCUCAUGUCUGGAUUUGUGAAAGCUGCUGUUAGUGGGCUACAAAAUCAACCAAUCAUUAAUGAUGUUAUUGAUGGAGAUGAUAUCAUAUAUAGAGAUUAUAUUGAUAUCAGUAUUGCUGUUGGGACUCCAACGGAGUAAAGAACUCACCUCCGUUGUCUCAAAAUAUUCUCACACCUAUUCUACUUCUCAGGCCUUGUUCAUUUGAAAUGUUUGGAGUUGUCUGAUACAUAAUUUGGAAACAAUGGUCUUCGUCAUCUCUCUGAUGGAGGUUUGCGACACUUGGCAGUGAAACGAAAAUUUGCAUUAAUUUCACAACCCCUUUAGGACUUUAAAGAUCUUUAUUAUCCAUCAUUUGCUGAAUGGGUUUCAUGUAUGUCAAACCACAAGCUUCCGGGGCCAAUUCAGUUGCUGAGACCUUUUCUGAAUUCAAACACCUUCUUCUUGUGUAUAAGUCCAAUAGAAAAUUCAGUACUUUCUUGUGUAUAAGUUCUAUUAGAAGACAAACAUAUUUUUGAACCCUUUGAGAUUUAUCCAUUUGUCUACUAUUGGAAUGA